UUGGAUCGACUAUAUGAAUUACUUCAGCUCAGUAAGAAAAUUACUUGAUAUAAGUCUGGUAUUACUAGAAGUGAAAUAUGACUUUUGGCAUAUGCCAAGGCAAGAGCUCCCGCAAAUGCAGAUGUUAAGAACAAAUGUUUUGUCCAAUCAACAAUGAACAGUAGAGAAUGUAAAUUCAAGAAGAUCACACUUAAUUUGACAUCCAAGUGCCACUAACAUGGAGCUAAACAAGUAGAAACCCAGACAUACUGAAAAGAUGAAGGAAUUCACUAUAAGUCUCUACUGCAAAAAUAGAUCUCUCUUUUUUCCCGAAGUGGUCCACUGCAAACAUAGAUCACAGCAUAUAAGCCACUGAAUAGAGAUUGACGAUAUCAUGCAAAAUGGAGGUCCCGAAGUGGUCCACUGCAAUCAUAGAUCACAGCAUAUAAGCCACUGAAUAGAGAUUGACGAUAUCAUGCAAAAUGGAGGUGUACCUAUUAUGGUUACAAUCCAACAACGCUAAAAGAUCUUCAGUUCAACCUCACAAUCACGGAGAAACAAAU
rnacentral:lncRNA from 1 species